rnacentral:rRNA from 1 species
AGUCGUAACAAGGUUUCCGUAGGUGAACCUGCGGAAGGAUCAUUACCUAGAGUUUGUAGACUUCGGUCUGCUACCUCUUACCCAUGUCUUUUGAGUACCUUCGUUUCCUCGGCGGGUCCGCCCGCCGAUUGGACAACAUUCAAACCCUUUGCAGUUGCAAUCAGCGUCUGAAAAAACAUAAUAGUUACAACUUUCAACAACGGAUCUCUUGGUUCUGGCAUCGAUGAAGAACGCAGCGAAAUGCGAUAAGUAGUGUGAAUUGCAGAAUUCAGUGAAUCAUCGAAUCUUUGAACGCAUAUUGCGCCCCUUGGUAUUCCAUGGGGCAUGCCUGUUCGAGCGUCAUUUGUACCUUCAAGCUCUGCUUGGUGUUGGGUGUUUGUCUCGCCUCUGCGUGUAGACUCGCCUUAAAACAAUUGGCAGCCGGCGUAUUGAUUUCGGAGCGCAGUACAUCUCGCGCUUUGCACUCAUAACGACGACGUCCAAAAGUACAUUUUUACACUCUUGACCUCGGAUCAGGUAGGGAUACCCGCUGAACUUAAGCAUAUCA